rfam:Populus trichocarpa scaffold_14_contig_155, whole genome shotgun sequence.
UCUAGAACUUCAUAUAUAGGCUAAACACCGAACAAUAUCUGGGAUGCAGGACAUAUUCAGACUUCUCUUUUAUUACUAAGAUUUGAACUAAAAAUGGAAGUAUUGAGUCUUGGGAUCUGCAUAAAUAUUUUAGACUUACAUCUUAUAUUUCCAUC